rnacentral:tRNA from 1 species
GCGGGGAUGGCCCAGCCCGGCAAGGCGACGGAUUGCUAAUCCGUUGGGAGCAAUCCCUCGGGGGUUCAAAUCCCCCUCCCCGCG